GACAGACAUUAAGCCAUAAGCGAAAGCUUGACUUAGCUAGGGCUAAAAGAGCCGGUAAAACUCGUGCCAGCAACCGCGGUUAUACGAGAGGCCCAAAUUGACGCACCACGGCGUAAAGUGUGAUUAGAGACAAACAAGAACUAGAGCCGAACGCCCCUUAUGCUGUCAUACGCUACGGGGGACACGAAGCCCGACAACGAAAGUGGCCCUAUAAACCUUGAACUCACGACAGCUAGGAUACAAACUGGGAUUAGAUACCCCACUAUGCUUAGCCUUAAACCAAGGUGAUAAACCUACAACCUUCACCCGCCAGGGAACUACGAGCCCCAGCUUAAAACCCAAGGGACUUGGCGGUGCCUCAAACCCACCUAGAGGAGCCUGUCCUAUAACCGAUAAUCCCCGUUAAACCUCACCCCUUCUUGCCAAUUCCGCCUAUAUACCGCCGUCGCCAGUUUACCUUGUGAAGGAACAACAGUAAGCAAAACGGGCAAUGCCCAACACGUCAGGUCGAGGUGUAGCGAAUGGAGGGGGAAGAGAUGGGCUACAUUUUCUGGUAACAGAAUAAUACGAACGGCACAAUGAAAGAUGUGCAGCCGAAGGUGGAUUUAGCAGUAAAAGGGGAAAAGAGAGCCCUUUUGAAACCGGCCCUGAGGCGCGUACACACCGCCCGUCACUCUCCUCGAGAACCGAAAUGACAAUACAUAAAAACUUAGGAAAAUAGAGAGGAGGCAA
rnacentral:rRNA from 1 species